rnacentral:rRNA from 1 species
CCCUUAGAUGUUCUGGGGCGCACGCGUGCUACACUGAGUGGAUCAGCGGGUCAGGUUGCGCGAAAGCGUUUCCUAAUCUUUAAAUCCGCUCGUGAUGGGGAUUGACGGUUGCAAUUUUCUGUCAUGAACGAGGAAUACCUUGUAAGCGCGGGUCAUCAUCCCGCGCUGAAUACGUCCCUGCCCUUUGUACACACCGCCCGUCGCUCCUACCGAUUGAGUGGUCCGGUGAGGCUUUGGGAUCUGAGCGGAAAGAGCGUUUCGCUGUUUCUGCUCGGAAAACUCAGUCGAACCUUAUCAUUUAGAGGAAGGAGAAGUCGUAACA